rnacentral:lncRNA from 1 species
GUAAUUUGCAGCUGUAUAAAAGAGUGAAGGAGUCUUCCCCAGAAUAUAUUGUUAAGUUAAAAAAAAUCAAAAUGAAAAGGCAGAGUAUAUGUGGUGAGAUAGAGGAUUCAGAGCUGAUCAAGGAAAGGACAUGACCACGAAAUGACAGUAGCACAAAUGAACUUUGUUUGGGUGGUGCUUGGUUAGCAUACGUGAGUGAAGUUCUUCACAGCAGGAGACCUUCCAGAAAGAGCAGCAUGGAGCCACCACCCAGAAGAGGAAGAGAACAAGGGCAUUCCCAGGGGAGAGGGAAAUCGGAGAAGUGCCUCCUGCAGGGUAUGUGACAGAGCUCCCUCCUGGUGGUUUUUAAAGAUGCUGGAAAGAGUGGUGGAGACAUGGAGGCCUUAGAAGAUGCCCUUGUAGUGUUGUCUUCAGCUUUCCUGGGGACUGUUGGAAUCCGCUGCAGAGAUGACUGCCAUGCCAUGAAGACACUCAAGCAGCCCUAUGAAAAGGUCCACUUGGGGAGGAACUGAGACCUCUUGCCAACAACCAUGUGAGUAACCCGUCUUGGAAGACGAUCCACCAACCCCAGUCAAGGCUUCAGAUGACUGUCACUCCAGCCAACAUCUUGACUACGACCUCAUGAGAGACUCUGUGCCAGAACCACCCAGCUAAGCUGCUCCUGAAUUCCUGACCCCCAGAAACUGAGAUAAUAAAUGUUUAUUAUUUUGAGCCACAAUAUUUUUGGGUAAUUUGUUGGAAGGCAAUAGAUAACUAAUACAGGCUCUCAUAAUGUCAUUUAUUUGGGUCCAGUCAGCAUGCUUUAGGAUCUGGGAGUUUUUUUCCUUCAUCCAUAAUCUAACAGCAAUAUAAGGAAUACAAGAAAAAGAAACUAAAGAGACUUCCCUGGAUUCUCCUGGUAUUGGUGGAUGUAACAUUUGACUCUUUACUUCUUCCCUGCUGAGUCUGAAGGGCUUUUGCUUGAAGUAAUUUGCCAUUUUGGAAGAGAAGCACUAUUUGGCUAGUGUGUGUUUUAGUGUCAGAAAGUCCCUUAGGAAAUGAAUAAACCCAGAGUCUCCAACUCACUUAAUAAAGCAUUGCAUUUAAUCCUGCAACAAUCCUGUGAUGUAGGCACACUUGCCUGAUUUUAAGGCUGAGGGAAUUGAAGUAUUAUGUGUCAGGGAUACACACAAAUGUGGGGGAAUAUGAAAGGUCUUGGAGGCUGUCUUCAUAAAUAUCCAGUUACUUCUGCGUCAUGGAAGAGAGGAAAAAAGAAAGGCAUUAAGAAG